UACGUAGGGACCGAGCGUUGUCCGGAAUCAUUGGGCGUAAAGAGCGUGUAGGCGGCUAUUUAAGUCCUGCGUGAAAUCCUGCGGCUCAACCGCAGACGGUCGUGGGAAACUGUACGGCUUGAGGCCGGGAGGGGGUAGCGGAAUUCCCAGUGUAGCGGUGAAAUGCGUAGAUACUGGGAGGAACACCAGUGGCGAAGGCGCUACCUGGACCGGUUCUGACGCUGAGGCGCGAAAGCGUGGGUAGCAAACAGG
rnacentral:rRNA from 1 species